rnacentral:lncRNA from 1 species
UUUUAUGCCAUUUUAGGGUGAAAUCAGAUUCAGUAUUAGAGACAGUAGCAUUAUUUUCAAGUACUGUUUCAGCUUUAACUACAUAGAUUCUAUUUUUUUUACACCCUUAAAGAUGACAAGAGAUUCCUUGAUCACUUUCAUCAACCCAUCUCCAAUCCUACCACACAUCCCUAGGUCAUCUAAUUCUCCCGUAGAGAUGAGAUUCCUUUUAAGUUCAAGUACAUACCUUACUCUCUCUAGGGUAUACAUGUAUCAUUUUAGGGUGAAAUCAGAUUCAGUAUUAGAGACAGUAGCAUUAUUUUCAAGUACUGUUUCAGCUUUAACUACAUAGAUUCUAUUUUUUUUACACCCUUAAAGAUGACAUGAGAUUCCUUGAUCACUUUCAUCAACCCAUCUCCAAUCCUACCACACAUCCCUAGGUCAUCUAAUUCUCCCGUAGAGAUGAGAUUCCUUUUAAGUUCAAGUACAUACCUUACUCUCUCUAGGGUAUACAUGUAUUCAUUUUCAAAUUUUAGGGUCACAUUACCUAAACCUUCAAUUUUGCAGGCAAUAUUAUUCCCCAUCACCAUUUCACCACCUCCUAACUUCUUAACAUCUUGAAGCGAG